rnacentral:rRNA from 1 species
CAGUCGCCGCGGUAAUACAGAGGGUGCAAGCGUUACCCGGAAUUACUGGGCGUAAAGCGUGCGUAGGUGGUUGUUUAAGUCUGCUGUGAAAGCCCUGGGCUCAACCUGGGAAUUGCAGUGGAUACUGGGCAACUAGAGUAAGGUAGAGGAUAGUGGAAUUUCCGGUGUAGCAGUGAAAUGCGUAGAGAUCGGAAGGAACAUCUGUGGCGAAGGCGACUAUCUGGGCCAUUACUGACACUGAGGCACGAAAGCGUGGGGAGCAAACAGGAUUAGAUACCCGCGUAGUCCCUGUCUCUUAUAC